rnacentral:rRNA from 1 species
AGAAUCAACGCUGGCGGCGUGCCUCAGACAUGCAAGUCGUACGAUUAAAGCUCUCUUCGGAGAGUGCAUAAAGUGGCGUACGGGUGAGUAACACGUAAGUAAUCUACCUUUGAGUGGGGAAUAACAGUCGGAAACGACUGCUAAUACCGCAUAAUGCAGCGGCUCGACAUCGAGACAGUUGUUAAAGAAUUUAUUCGCUUAAAGAGGAGCUUGCGGCAGAUUAGCUAGUUGGUAAGGUAAUGGCUUACCAAGGCAACGAUCUGUAG